rnacentral:lncRNA from 1 species
UGGAGCCCUUGGCAGGAUCAGUUCCUGAAAGAUGUGAAUCCUCAGUUUCCAGCUCCAGCCGCUAUACCUGCAUGCUGUCACACUUCCUCGAGGGGCCAGUGAUGGACUCUUACACCUCUGGCACUGCAGGCAUCCAGGUGUACAGAAACCCAAGUACACGAGGAACCACAUUAGAACCCAGGGGGCUUUAAUUUUGUGCUUGAAUUAGAUUUCGUUA